UACGGAGGAUGCGAGCGUUAUCCGGAUUUAUUGGGUUUAAAGGGUGCGUAGGUGGUUUUUUAAGUCAGUGGUGAAAGUUUGUCGCUCAACGAUAAAAUUGCCAUUGAAACUGGAGAACUUGAGUAUGUUGGAGGUAGGCGGAAUGCGUGGUGUAGCGGUGAGAUGCAUAGAUAUCACGCAGAACUCCGAUUGCGAAGGCAGCUUACUAGGCCAUAACUGACACUGAAGCACGAAAGCGUGGGUAUCAAACUGG
rnacentral:rRNA from 1 species